rnacentral:rRNA from 1 species
CUUGGCGGCCAUAGUGAUGAGGAAACACCCGGUAACAUUCCGAACCCGGAAGUUAAGCUUAUCACGUUCUCCAUUGUACUGAAGUGCGCGAGCCUUCGGGAAGUCGAGUUUGCUGCCAAGG